CUACGGGCGGCUGCAGUGGGGAAUAUUGGACAAUGGGCGCAAGCCUGAUCCAGCAAUGCCGCGUGUGUGAAGAGGGCCUGCGGGUUGUAAAGCACUCUCAAUUGGGAGGAAAAGCGGUCGGUUAAUACCCGGCCGACUUGACGUUACCUUUAGAAGAAGCACCGGCUAACUCCGUGCCAGCAGCCGCGGUAAUACGGAGGGUGCAAGCGGUAAUCGGAAUUACUGGGCGUAAAGCGCGCGUAGGUGGCUAGAUAAGUCGGAUGUGAAAGCCCUGGGCUCAACCUGGGAAUGGCAUUCGAUACUGUCUGGCUAGAGUCUGGUAGAGGGAAGUGGAAUUCCAGGUGUAGCGGUGAUAUGCGUAGAUAUCUGGAGGAACACCAGUGGCGAAGGCGACUUCCUGGACCAAGACUGACACUGAGGUGCGAAAGCGUGGGUAGCAAACAGGAUUAGAUACCCUUGUAGUC
rnacentral:rRNA from 1 species